GAAUCUAGACACUCUAGUCAUCAUGGUGUAGAUAUGGACGGUCCUUCUGAAGAGUCUAUAUCUACAUCUGGGGCUGAGACUGAAAGCUUCAAAUCUGCUACAGACCAUUUAGAUUAUAGUACUGAUUCUUUCGUAACUGCAGCAGAUACUGAAGUGACUUCUAAAUCAACGAUUGAGAGACAAGAUAGUGAUGGGGGAAGUCAGUUUAAUGUUGCUUCAAAUUUUGAAGAGGCUUGCCAGGGUAGCUUCAUAUUUGCUGCAUCCUCUGUUGCUCAAAAUCAGGUUGCAACAGCAACACGCCAACAGAAAAAGAAAAAUCGAACGAAGCUCAUUAUUGAUUCAUGUAGUUCAACUACAAAAUUGUCUUACUCAUCGCCUGGGCAAUUUUUUCAAGUUUCUGGAUCAUCUCCUCUUCCAUCUCCAACUCAGAGUAAGAAAGGAGAUAUACCUACUAUGACAAGCCAUAG
rnacentral:misc_RNA from 1 species